GAGAGUCUUAAUGUACAGUGGAAAGUAAAGGAUCCAUUACCAUUAAUUCCGGUGGGGAAAAAAACCAGGGACCUGACAUUCCCCAAGCUUAUUUGGCUUUUGAUAAACCUAGUAUCUUGAGAGAUCUUAGCCAUCUGUGGAAUAAUUUAAUAAAUACUGCUCUCACGUGAGAGGCUGUUUAAAGCGUCUGCAGGUCUGCAUUCUACCUUGCUGUCAUUUACAUCUUUCUCUCAAACCCAUGGAAUUUGUGCUGUCUGUGCACCACAGUCAGCAGCACAUUCUCACUUAGAACGGGCGUUUCAUCCUGACCCAGGAUGGCAAUUUCCUCUAGCUUAGUUCUGAAAAGACCCUGCCCUUUGAUGUUACAUUUGGUCUUACAACUUUUCACAUAUGGUAAGACAAGUGUCUAGUUUUUCUCACAUAGUCAUCACCACCAAACAGUGAAGCAACGUUUGUAGCCCAAAGCUUACCUUUCCUCCCAUGCUCUGAGAGACUCGGCAUCUCUCGUCCUUGGCUCACUAACAUUGGUGGGCUCUGUUUAUGAGGUCAGACAUUCCUCUCUGCAUCUUCCUUUAAACAAGGCUGACUGUAUCGGGUGUACAAAUACCCCAGCUCCCUCUCUCCUUGGGUGGGAUAACCCUGAGGUGUACGUUCUACCAGUUUCCCCAUGGAGCUUGCCUGCAGAGGUAACCAGCUUGAUGACAAAUCUUUUAUUGGCUUCCUUCCCUGCUCUCCAACAGUUUUUCCUGAGAUCACCUUCCAAAUAAAUGACUUGCCCUCAAAUCAUUGUUUCAAUCCCCUUGAAUAGAGGAAAUCAAACAGAGACACACACUUGACCUGGUGCUGGUAGGCUUGCCACACUGCAGGUUGUGGUACCAUGGUAUCAUCAGCUUGCAAUUCCCAAGUCAUACUGGAAAACCCUUAAGACUCUCUGCAGUCUGCUGCCAACAGUGCAUGCACAUAUAAGACGUGUCCUACACAAAUCGUGAAGCAAACCCAGCUGUCAUGGGCACAUCAAAUGUUUUUGUUGUCUGUGUAUUUGUCCUCAUGCUUCUUCACUGUGAGCCAAACAUCCAGGGAAGCAUCACAGCCACCCUGAUGGUCAUAAGCUCCCCUGAAGAAGGGAAGGCAGGUGGAGCUGAGGAGCUGUCUGUUGCCACCAUCUUUCUACUUCCCUAAAGGGGGUUUAUUGGCCAAGCCAAAGACGAGAACUGUCAAGAGAGCCAGCAGGUAUCUUCACCCACGUUGCCAAGGAGAUCCUGAGCAUUCACCGUGAGGGGAAGUCGAUAAGGUGGUGCAGUUUGAAUGACUGGGAAAGAGCAGAAGCUUUCUUAGAACAACUGGCAAGAGUCUUGUGUUCUGAGCUUCAAUCCUCAAGGCCAGUUUUGUAAACAGAUAUUGAGUUCCUGGUGAUUUCAGCCCUGGAGGUUUCUUCCCAGCAUAAGACCACAUUCAUCAGAAUGCCAUGUUCUGACGCCCCCACACAUAUACUUUUCUCUCCUGAAACCUCUUCACCUUCUCCCCUCUGCAAGAAAAGGUGCUUGGCCAGAAUUUUCUGGAUAAUUAAGAAAAAGUCAUAGACAUCAUCCCCACAGCACACCCACAGAAGGCCAGAAAAACGGACCAAGACUGAAUGGAAAUCUAAGAAGCUACUGCUUGAAAUGUCAUUCUUUUGCGAUAAAGAUGUGGUUGGCUAAGAAAACAUGGCCAGAUGUGGCUGGUCACAUGCCAUGAAGGAGAAUGUAAUCAUGAAACUGUGGAAGGAUGUAACAGGGAAAUAGGAUUCUCUAGCACAUACCUUUGGCUGCUGAUGUUGUAAUGUGUCAAUAAUCCCAGGUCACUCAGUUGUAAUUCCAGAGAAGUCACAUUUCCCUACCAUGGCACUAUCAAGCAGAAACUUAACAGUCUGCCCCCUUAUUAUCUCCUGCAUUUGUCUUAGGACUCUUUGAAGGCAGGCUUUGUGCUUUCAAUCCCCAGUACUCAGCAUCUCACCUGUCCUUGGUACCAGCGAUAAAUUGCAAAGAUGCCCACAUACCCUCCACACCCUUUACCAUGUGACUCUCCAGCUCUUCCCAUCGUGAGGUGGAGUCUAUUUUCCCAGCCUUGAUUCUCCACUGAGACUAGCUUUGACAAUUGGAUGAGAGGGAGGAGAUGUUGUGUCUGUUACACAGUCCCCAAGGGGCUGUGCACACUUCCAAUUACUUUCUCAGAACCCUGCCCUGCUUCCACACAAAUGCCUAUGUCUAACCUGCUAAGAGACCAGUUUUUUUUGAAGCCCUCCCAGACUAGCCAACUCCCAGCUGCCCGCAGAGGCACAUGUAAGUCUCGCUGAGCUCAAACUGCCCCACUGAGCUCAGUCCAAAUAGCCAACCCACAGAACUGUGACCUGCAUAGAUGGAUAUUGCUUUUAAGCCGCUGAAUACUGGGGUGGUUUGUCAAGUAGCAUAAGUUAACUGGUACAGACUCAAUAUUUUUUUUGCUGACUUAAUGAAUCAGACAGACAGCUGAUAGGGCUCUAGAUUUAAACAGCAUCAG
rnacentral:lncRNA from 10 species